rnacentral:rRNA from 1 species
AUAAUAUUGUAGCUUCGCAUGGAGCAACAAUCAAAGGAGCAAUCCGCUAUGAGAUGGACCCGCGGCGCAUUAGCUAGUUGGUGAGGUAACGGCUCACCAAGGCGACGAUGCGUAGCCGACCUGAGAGGGUGAUCGGCCACAUUGGGACUGAGACACGGCCCAGACUCCUACGGGAGGCAGCAGUGGGGAAUAUUGCACAAUGGGGGAAACCCUGAUGCAGCAACGCCGCGUGAGUGAUGACGGCCUUCGGGUUGUAAAGCUCUGUCUUCAGGGACGAUAAUGACGGUACCUGAGGAGGAAGCCACGGCUAACUACGUGC